rnacentral:rRNA from 1 species
UGGGGAAUAUUGCACAAUGGGGGAAACCCUGAUGCAGCGACGCCGCGUGAGUGAUGAAGGCCUUCGGGUCGUAAAGCUCUGUCGUAUGGGACUAACAAAAUGAAGGUACCAUGCAAGAAAGGAUCGGCUAACUUCGUGCCAGCAGCCGCGGUAAGACGAGGGAUCCUAGCGUUGUUCGGAAUUAUUGGGCGUAAAGCGGGUGUAGGCGGACUUAUAAGUCAGGUGUGAAAUCCCAGGGCUCAACCCUGGAAGUGCACUUGAUACUGCAAGUCUUGAGUGUGGUAGAGGCUAUUAGAAUUCCUGGUGUAGUGGUGAAAUACGUAGAUAUCAGGAGGAAUACCGGAGGCGAAGGCGGAUAGCUGGGCCAACACUGACGCUGAGACCCGAAAGCGUGGGGAUCAAACAGGAUUAGAUACCCACGUAGUCCCUGAGCGGGCUGGCAAGGCGCAU